AUCCAGCCAUGCCGCGUGAGUGAUGAAGGCCCUAGGGUCGUAAAGCUCUUUCGCCAGGGAUGAUAAUGACAGUACCUGGUAAAGAAACCCCGGCUAACUCCGUGCCAGCAGCCGCGGUAAUACGGAGGGGGUUAGCGUUGUUCGGAAUUACUGGGCGUAAAGCGCGCGUAGGCGGACUAGUCAGUCAGAGGUGAAAUCCCAGGGCUCAACCCUGGAACUGCCUUUGAUACUGCUAGUCUUGAGUUCGAGAGAGGUGAGUGGAAUUCCGAGUGUAGAGGUGAAAUUCGUAGAUAUUCGGAGGAACACCAGUGGCGAAGGCGGCUCACUGGCUCGAUACUGACGCUGAGGUGCGAAAGUGUGGGGAGCAAACAGGAUU
rnacentral:rRNA from 1 species